UCAUUCGAUCCAAGUAAUAUUCACUAAACCAGUUCAUUGGCCUAAUUAGUUGAUAUUUCCAAGUAAAAUGUACUUGAGUGAUAUCAGUGAACCUGGCAACUUUCACGAACAUUCGGAGCAUGACGUCAAAGCCCCUCCCCACAUUUGAACGGUCUUUCGUCCGAGACGUGCUGUACACUUCAGUCCAAGUUCCACAUUUCAACUGGGUUGGCAGACUUUGUUGAAUGAGAUGGGGAAGAACGUGAAUGAACCACGAAGCAUCAUGUCGACGGCAGAAGGGACAUUAUCAUCCGUUGCUUAGUUGAGUAUCUUGGAGAGAGUGGAGAGGAGCUGAUCAAAGACUAUCAGGACGUCAGCCAAGAAGCAGUGAAAGAGGACUGCAGUAAUCACAUGAUGCAGAUCAACGUCAUCCAUCCCAAUGUGGCACAGGAAAACCAAGAUCCUGUGUAUGUGUCAGUCAUCAUCAAGUGUGACAAACGCUUGCCUCCUGCUCAUGGGUGUCAUCUAUGCUGUAAACUUAAGUUACCCACUUAAACUGAAAUAUACGUUUGAAGUAUUUCAGAAGCUGUUUCUUGAGGUUGACGUCAUUACAAUGUCACCAAAGGUCCAGUUUCUCCACAAUAAACUUUUAGCGUGAGUGUUCCAGUGCUAUUUGUGCUUUUGUCCAGCACAAACAAUCUCUUUACUUUUGUCAUUUUUCUGACUGAAAUUUCAAGUUUUGCUUAGUUUUUAAGUUAUUUCUGUCCUGAACAUCCUGAGAAUGUCUGCAAAGGUAGCCAUUGCAGUUUAUGUAUGCAUUCUUUGCUGUUCUGAAAAGUCAACUGUAACACUGUAUUCGUUUGUAUGCUGGAAUAUCAGUCCUAAAGUCAGUUGGUGCUUUGUCAUUCCGCAUUGAAUUUUUCAAAUCCUAAACGGCUUUACUUUUGAGCUUUUGUGUGUGUGUGUGUGUGUGUGUGUACACUGUUUUCAAAUUUGCUAGCAGGAAGUUCUGUGUGGUUAUGUUAUGUAUUUUAAAUACAUCUAUGCCAUUUCAAAUGUGAAAUAAAAGUGUAUUUCAAACAUCC